rnacentral:lncRNA from 1 species
CUGGUCCACUCAAUGCCUCAUCCUCUUUGCAAACAUUUCAAACGUUUUCUUUUACAUGGCUUCUAGAUAUCACUUAGCAUGCACUCUAUAUUUAGGAACGGUUAUGAAACAAACAUAUCACCCACAAUAUCUGCACUGACUAUGGCAUGAAGCCUGGUACUGGGAUCAAGAGGCAGGGAGACACCAGGGAAAAAUCCUGCCUCAUAUCACAGCGAAGCCUGGUGCUCCUGGCUGAUUUGGGAGCUUGUCGGUAAGUCUCAUCUGGUCAAGUUCGACAACCCCCAGGUGGCAAGCUUUACGCCACAAAGCCCAUUGGACUGCAGGAAACAGGAAAGAUGGACAGCUCCAGUCCUCGGCCAGAGGCAGAGCUCGUCAGUCAGUCUCAUCUGGUCUAAUCCCACAACCGCCGAGUGGCAAGCUUUACGCCACAGAGCCCACUGGACUGCAAGAAACAGGAGAGACCGAUGGCUCCAGCCCUGGACCAGAGGCUACUAUCCCUGUAGUACCUCUGAAAGGCCAAUCCUUGUAGCAGCCCUGAAAGGUCCAGAUGCAGCCCCUUAUUCUGCAGAGGAGGAGUCCAAGGUGGCCCACCCACAGGAGGCAGAGCUGGCCUCUGUUGCUGUAGUGGAGAAAUACUGCACCCCAAGCCACAUCAUGACACUCUUCGGCCCAGAGUGGGCAGCCUGAAGAGGAAAGACUCCAUCCCAGCAAGGAUGAAGGCUGCGGUUCCCAGGUCCUCCGUCAGCACGUAUCUCAUUUCCUGGGCACCCAAGACAGGGACCCCGGGAGGCCCUUUGGUUGGCUUUGGCGCAGCCGUGAAGGGCUGCAGGUCUCCACCCUCCUGAAGUUAGGUGCGGCCAAGUGAGCCGGCGGCUGCAGGGACGUGUGUCACUCCAGGAAAGGUGAAGACCAACUCACCACCCACCACACUGCCCUUGAACCCAGAUGUGGCAACUAUAAAUGGAUGAUGGUCCAGCUGGUGGGGGUGUCACCCAACCCGGUUCCUAAGUGAGGAGGGCAAAGGACAGCACCCAGCAGACCUGACAGGGCAGUGAGAGUGAGCAGGAAAUAAGCCUUUGUUUUUUUAAGCCAUGGCAACCUGGAGAUUAUUUGCUACUGCAGCCUAACCCCGCUGUCCUGACUGUUACAGGUCAGGUGGCUACAGCAGAAUAGCCCUUAUCCUAAAC